rnacentral:rRNA from 1 species
UCCGCAGGCGGCCGGAUAAGUGAAAGGUGAAAUCCUUCAGCUUAACUGAAGAACUGCCUUUUAAACUGUUUGGCUUGAGGUUGGAAGAGGAGAGCGGAACUGCUAGUGUAAGGGUGAAAUCUGUGGAUAUUAGCAGGAACGCCUGUGGUGAAGACGGCUCUCUGGUCCAAUCCUGACGCUCAGGGACGAAAGCUAGGGAAGCAAACA